CCGCAAUGGGCGAAAGCCUGACGGAGCAAUACCGCGUGAGGGAGGAAGGCUCUUGGGUUGUAAACCUCUUUUCUCAGGGAAGAAAAAAAUGACGGUACCUGAGGAAUAAGCAUCGGCUAACUCCGUGCCAGCAGCCGCGGUAAUACGGAGGAUGCAAGCGUUAUCCGGAAUGAUUGGGCGUAAAGCGUCCGCAGGUGGCUGUGUGUGUCUGCUGUUAAAGAGUCAUGCUUAACAUGAUAAAGGCAGUGGAAACUACACGGCUAGAGUGCGUUCGGGGCAGAGGGAAUUCCUGGUGUAGCGGUGAAAUGCGUAGAGAUCAGGAAGAACACCGGUGGCGAAAGCGCUCUGCUAGGCCGCAACUGACACUGAGGGACGAAAGCUAGGGGAGCGAAUGGGAUUAGAUACCCCAGUAGUCC
rnacentral:rRNA from 1 species